rnacentral:tRNA from 1 species
UGGAGAUGUAGGUCAGUGGUAGGUACUUGCCUAGCACGCAUGAGGCCCUGGGUUCAAUCCCCAGCACUACAA